rnacentral:misc_RNA from 1 species
GAGAUUGGAAAGAUGAUUGGCAGGGAGGCUUUGUAGCUAAUUUUGGUAGUGUGUCUUGGGAUGGCGCUGAAUUAGGGGCCAUGAAAGAAGGGUUGCAUUUGGCUUGACAAAAGGGUGUUUCGCAAUUGAUGAUAGAGUGUGAUAAUUUAGAAGUUGUUCCUUGGGUUAAUGGUGAUAAAGAGCCUGUGAAAAGUUUGAGGACUUCAGUUAACUCUAUUGAGAAGCUGAUUUUGUUUGGCUGGGAAGUGCAAAUCAAGCAUAUU